rnacentral:sRNA from 1 species
UGGGCUGGCGUCCAAGGGUUUGAGUCCUGUCGAGCUCACGGCAACCUGGGAUGGCCGCUGGUUGCCAAGGUGCCUCUCUGCAGUCGGGCUGAGUGCUGCCCUGCCCAGUAGGUACAUGCUGCGGGAGCGAGAGGGGGCCCCAGAGCCUGCAUCCUGCGUGAAGGAGACUCCAGACCCCUGGCAGAGCCUGGACCCCUUUGACUCCCUGGAGUCUAAGCCCUUCAAGAAAGGUAGGCCUUACUCUGUGCCCCCCUGUGUGGAGGAGGCUAUGGGACAGAAGCGCAAGAGGAAGGGCGCUGCCAAGCUGCAGGACUUCCACCAGUGGUACCUGGCUGCCUAUGCAGACCAUGCCGACAGCAGGAGGCUUCGGCGAAAGGGUCCGUCCUUUGCAGACAUGGAGGUCCUGUACUGGACACACGUGAAGGAGCAGUUGGAAACUCUCCGGAAGCUGCAGAGGAGGGAGGUGGCUGAGCAGUGGCUGCGGCCUGCAGAGGAGGACCACCUGGAGGAUUCCCUGGAAGACCUGGGGGCAGCAGGUG